rnacentral:rRNA from 1 species
ACGGGAGGCAGCAGUGGGGAAUAUUGGACAAUGGGGGCAACCCUGAUCCAGCGAUGCCGCGUGAGUGAAGAAGGAUCUCGGUAUGUAAAGCUAUUUAAGCAGGGAAGACAAUGACGGUACCUGCAGAAUAAGCCCCGGCUAUAUACGUGCAAGCAGCCGCGGUAAUACGUAGGGGGCAAGCGUUAUCCGGAUUUACUGGGUGUAAAGGGAGCGUAGACGGCAAUACAAGUCUGAAGUGAAAGCACGCGGCUCAACUGCUGAACUGCUUUGGAAACUGUAUAGCUAGAGUGUCGGAGAGGUGAGUGGAAUUCCCAGUGUAGCGGUGAAAUGCGUAGAUAUUGGGAGGAACACCGGAGGCGAAGGCGGCUCACUGGACGAUAACUGACGUUGAGGCUCGAAAGCGUGGGGAGCAAACAGGAUUAGAUACCCUGGUA